GAGUUUGAUCCUGGCUCAGGAUGAACGCUGGCGGCGUGCUUAACACAUGCAAGUCGAACGAUGAUCCGGUGCUUGCGCCGGGGAUUAGUGGCGAACGGGUGAGUAACACGUGAGUAACCUGCCCUUAACUCUGGGAUAAGCCUGGGAAACUGGGUCUAAUACCGGAUAUGACUCCUCAUCGCAUGGUGGGGGGUGGAAAGCUUUUGUGGUUUUGGAUGGACUCGCGGCCUAUCAGCUUGUUGGUGAGGUAAUGGCUCACCAAGGCGACGACGGGUAGCCGGCCUGAGAGGGUGACCGGCCACACUGGGACUGAGACACGGCCCAGACUCCUACGGGAGGCAGCAGUGGGGAAUAUUGCACAAUGGGCGGAAGCCUGAUGCAGCGACGCCGCGUGAGGGAUGACGGCCUUCGGGUUGUAAACCUCUUUCAGUAGGGAAGAAGCGAAAGUGACGGUACCUGCAGAAGAAGCGCCGGCUAACUACGUGCCAGCAGCCGCGGUAAUACGUAGGGCGCAAGCGUUAUCCGGAAUUAUUGGGCGUAAAGAGCUCGUAGGCGGUUUGUCGCGUCUGCCGUGAAAGUCCGGGGCUCAACUCCGGAUCUGCGGUGGGUACGGGCAGACUAGAGUGAUGUAGGGGAGACUGGAAUUCCUGGUGUAGCGGUGAAAUGCGCAGAUAUCAGGAGGAACACCGAUGGCGAAGGCAGGUCUCUGGGCAUUAACUGACGCUGAGGAGCGAAAGCAUGGGGAGCGAACAGGAUUAGAUACCCUGGUAGUCCAUGCCGUAAACGUUGGGCACUAGGUGUGGGGGACAUUCCACGUUUUCCGCGCCGUAGCUAACGCAUUAAGUGCCCCGCCUGGGGAGUACGGCCGCAAGGCUAAAACUCAAAGGAAUUGACGGGGGCCCGCACAAGCGGCGGAGCAUGCGGAUUAAUUCGAUGCAACGCGAAGAACCUUACCAAGGCUUGACAUGAACCGGUAAGACCUGGAAACAGGUCCCCCACUUGUGGCCGGUUUACAGGUGGUGCAUGGUUGUCGUCAGCUCGUGUCGUGAGAUGUUGGGUUAAGUCCCGCAACGAGCGCAACCCUCGUUCCAUGUUGCCAGCGCGUUAUGGCGGGGACUCAUGGGAGACUGCCGGGGUCAACUCGGAGGAAGGUGGGGACGACGUCAAAUCAUCAUGCCCCUUAUGUCUUGGGCUUCACGCAUGCUACAAUGGCCGGUACAAAGGGUUGCGAUACUGUGAGGUGGAGCUAAUCCCAAAAAGCCGGUCUCAGUUCGGAUUGGGGUCUGCAACUCGACCCCAUGAAGUCGGAGUCGCUAGUAAUCGCAGAUCAGCAACGCAUGCGGUGAAUACGUU
rnacentral:rRNA from 1 species